CCUACGGGGGGCAGCAGUGAGGAAUAUUGGUCAAUGGGCGAGAGCCUGAACCAGCCAAGUCGCGUGAGGGAGUACUGCCCUAUGGGUUGUAAACCUCUUUUGUCGGGGAGCAAAAGCCGGACGUGUCCGGCUGUGAGAGUACCCGAAGAAAAAGCAUCGGCUAACUCCGUGCCAGCAGCCGCGGUAAUACGGAGGAUGCGAGCGUUAUCCGGAUUUAUUGGGUGAAAAGGGUGCGCAGGCGGAUUGUUAAGUCAGCGGGAAAAUCGUGGGGCUCAACCCCAUCCAGCCGUUGAAACUGGGGGUCUGGAGUGUGCGAGAGGUAUGCGGAAUGCGUGGUGUAGCGGUGAAAUGCAUAGAUAUCACGCAGAACCCCGAUUGCGAAGGCAGCAUACCGGUGCACAACUGACGCUCAGGCACGAAAGCGUGGGUAUCGAACAGGAUUAGAUACCCUAGUAGUC
rnacentral:rRNA from 1 species